UGUGAUGCCAGCCACAGGAGGUGGGGCAGGGCUGCAGGGCCGUAGACUGGUGGACCUUGGUUUUGCCUGUGUUGUUUGCUUCUCAUAGAAUGCACAGGAAUUGAAGCUGGGCUGCUUGGUACAUCUACCCAGUGGGCAAAGACCUUGCAAGGAAGCAGCCCAGAGUGUCUGCUGUUCUCACAUUUAUUUGCAGAGCCCAAGCCCAGCCUCUCUUUGGGUCAUCAAACUCUGGGCAGCUUUCACAGUUGUGAUCCUAGGGGGACACUUGCUCAGAUGGUGGUGUGAUCCUGGGGGAGACUGGUCCUGUUUGCUGGUGUGAUCUUGGGGGAGGCUGUCUCUGUUUUCAGGUGUGAUCUUGGGGGAGAGUGGCCCUGUUUGUUGGUGUGAUCUUAGGGGGAGGCUGGCCCUGUUUGUUGGUGUGAUCUUAGGGGGAGGCUGGCCCUGUUUGUUGGUGUGAUCUUAGGGGGAGGCUAUCUCUUUUCAGGUGUGAUGCUGGGGGAGGCUGACUCUGUUGCUGGUGUGAUCCUAGAGGAGGCUAUCUCUGUUUUCAGGCGUGAUCCUAGGGGAGUCUAUCUCUGUUUGCCGGUGUGAUCCUAGGGGGAGGCUGGCUCUUACUGGUGUGAUCCAUGGGGAGGCUGGCCCUGUUUUCAGGUGUGAUCCUGGGGGAGGCUGGCUCUGUUGCUGGUGUGAUCCAGGGGGAGGCUGUCUCUGUUUUCAUGUGUGAUCCUGGGGGAGGCUGGCCCUGUUUGCUGGUGUGAUCCUUGGGGAGGCUGGCUGCAUUACCGGUGUAGUCCUGCAGGAAGACUGGCACCAUGAUAGGAGAAUGGAUUUCAAAUUGUGUUCCAGAGAUGCCUAUGGUCAUUGUCUCCAAGACUGUCAGGUGCUGUUCUGGUAAGUAGUCCGUGUGGAUCCAGGCUGUCUUGUCAUUGAAGACCUGCUUCGUGGCAAGGGUGACUGCUGACGUAGUUGGUGGAGCAAGAGUGCUCUCGCUAAAGGCCCCACUCCUCAUGCUUGGGGAACAGAGUUGCUGAUGUAACCAGUAAGCUGAGUCAUCCGUUUCUCUGUGUCUCCUGGGCUGGCGGGUUCAGCUCGGAGUCCAGGUCCUCACAGGAACUCCCAAUGCGUUUCUCAUUUGCACAGUACAUUUACGAUGAAGUCAUUUCUCUUGUAAUUGGAUAGAUCACCCCAAAUGCGGGUAGGAAGAACAAAAUGUAUUACCUGUCUUCUUUCUGAGUGCCCAAAAGAGUCUCUGUGGAAUGGUAAAUGAAGUUCUUCAAUUGAGAAUGGUCACUUGCAGUGAUCAGAUGGUGGCUUUUCCCAGUUUUGGACUCAGGCCCACCGGAAGCACCGCACCUCUUGCAGCCAUCUGAGCGGUCUGGAGGGGACUUUGGAGGUUCUUAGGCGUUUAGUGGACACACGAACAGCAGCAGGCACAGUUCCUGCAGGCCAAUGGAUCAUGGUUUUAGUGUCGCUGAUCUUCCUCUGCCUUUCCCUGGGAAUCUCAGAGUGCUUUGUAACUGCAAACCCCUCCUCUGUGCAAGUGUCCUGUGAAACAGACUGCACUUCUCCCCACUAAACCUGUGGAGAGAGAAACCAGUCAGUUGAAGUUGCUUUGUCCAACACUAUGAUCUCCUUCGGAAGGAAAUGUCCCGGAUCUGUUGAGCUGCUGGAACCAGUACAGAUAAACAUACUGCUGGGAAGGCUUAAAGUGCUUUAUACACCGGACCCCCUUAUCCACAGGGGACACAUUCCAUGACCCCCAGGGGGUGCCCGAAACCGUGGACAGUACCAAACCCUAUGUAUACCUCGUUUUUCCUGGACACACUUAGCCGUGAUAACGUUUAUGAAUUAGGUGCAGUAAAGAGGUUCACAACAAUAACAAUAAAAUAGAGCAAUUAUAGC